CCCAAAUACCUAAUUCGAAAUCCUCACGUAGAAGAACAUCCCGCGUCGCCUAGCACCUGCCCCUCCUGCCCAGCGCCACCCCGCGACGGUCAUCACUCGGUCUAGCGCCACCCAGCGCCGCCCAUCCCUCUGUCCUACGCCGCCCCUCGUUCCUCCUCUGUCGCCCCUCGAAUUUACACAUCCCGCGUCGCCCCAGCACCCGCAUCGUGUCGCCUGACCAGCGCCACCCCGCAAUGGCCAUCCCUCGGCCCAGCGACACCAACCGACGGCUCUCGAAACCUGUUGCGAUCUCACAAGGUAUAAUUUUGUCUGGGCAUUGUGUCCUUGCUGUCAAUAUUGGAGCUAUGAGCGCACUGGGUUCACAUCAGGCUCACUCACAAACCAUUCUCAUAUGGUACGCGUAAUGCACAGUGCCCCAGAGAACGUUUGUCGUGCCUUCUAGGAUAUGUAUCAACCCAAUACAUAAUAAGAAAGGAAUCCUGCAUCACUCUGAUAAAUCAAGUUUAGAGGAAAGAUUCGAUGGAAAAUUCUGUUGAGAUAGUGUGAUUGAGAAGCUGCUUCAUGUUACAAAGGAAUUAGAACCAGAUAUGUGCCCAUAUUGAUGUUGUGUAACUCGAUGGAGAAUUUGCAAAGUCAUGGAGAUGGUGAAGACGUGGAGAUGCACUUGGUGUUGCUUGUCGAGAUUCUAGGCUAGGAGUUUGGACCUUGGUGUGCAAACACUUGUUUCUUUGUGGGGAUGUUCUCCUGUAAUUUUUGUACAUUUUGUUGAUGCUAUAAGUUGGCCCAUUUUAUUGUGUCAAUGCUUGCACAUUCUUGACACAAGCAAAUUAGGGUGGUUGCACUGUUAUGUGGAUGGCUAAUUAUAUUUAUGGUUGUCAUGCAUUUCCAAAUUGAUUGCACAGAUCUAGAA